CUGGCUCAGAUUGAACGCUGGCGGCAGGCCUAACACAUGCAAGUCGAGCGGAUGACGGGAGCUUGCUCCUUGAUUCAGCGGCGGACGGGUGAGUAAUGCCUAGGAAUCUGCCUGGUAGUGGGGGACAACGUUUCGAAAGGAACGCUAAUACCGCAUACGUCCUACGGGAGAAAGCAGGGGACCUUCGGGCCUUGCGCUAUCAGAUGAGCCUAGGUCGGAUUAGCUAGUUGGUGGGGUAAUGGCUCACCAAGGCGACGAUCCGUAACUGGUCUGAGAGGAUGAUCAGUCACACUGGAACUGAGACACGGUCCAGACUCUUACGGGAGGCAGCAGUGGGGAAUAUUGGACAAUGGGCGAAAGCCUGAUCCAGCCAUGCCGCGUGUGUGAAGAAGGUCUUCGGAUUGUAGGGCACUUUAAGUGGGAGGAAGGGCAGUAAGUUAAUA
rnacentral:rRNA from 1 species